GGCAGCAGUGAGGAAUAUUGGACAAUGGGCUAAAGCCUGAUCCAGCCAUGCCGCGUGCAGGAAGACGGCCCUAUGGGUUGUAAACUGCUUUUAUACGGGAAGAAUAAGGGACACGUGUGUCCUGGUGACGGUACCGUAAGAAUAAGGACCGGCUAACUCCGUGCCAGCAGCCGCGGUAAUACGGAGGGUCCGAGCGUUAUCCGGAAUUAUUGGGUUUAAAGGGUCCGCAGGCGGGCAAUUAAGUCAGGGGUGAAAUGGUGCGGCUCAACCGUAGCACUGCCCUUGAUACUGGUUGUCUUGAGUCAUAGUGAAGUGGCCGGAAUAUGUAGUGUAGCGGUGAAAUGCAUAGAUAUUACAUAGAACACCGAUUGCGAAGGCAGGUCACUAACUAUCGACUGACGCUGAUGGACGAAAGCGUGGGGAGCGAACGGGAUUAGAUACCCCGGUAGUCCACGCCGUAAACGAUGGAUACUAGCUGUCCGGCACCUUGAGUGCUGGGCGGCUAAGCGAAAGUGAUAAGUAUCCCACCUGGGGAGUACGUUCGCAAGAAUGAAACUCAAAUGAAUUGACGG
rnacentral:rRNA from 2 species